AGGAUUAAGAGCUGGGGUGGAGAGAAAGGGAGGUGGGUAUGCCUUCUUUCCCAGCAGUGUCUCAACAGCCCUCUGCCUGAUUUCUUUCUCUAUAAAGCAAAUCCUGCCUUCUACUUAUCACAAGGAUUCUGGGAAGACAGAACAGAUAGAAAUGUGCAACCUUGGAGGAAAGUUCCUGGUAUUACAAUCACAAAUGAAGGUGGAAGCCGACUACUGUCUACUGCAAAACCCCAACUCUACACGAUGGCAAGGAAGAUCUUUCAACUUCAUAACCUGGGAAAGAAAAGCCAGGCUUCUUCUAUCCCAGGCCACAGACUGGCCCCAAUUACCCCAAGCAAUGAUCCCACAGAUGUAAGCCUGAGAGAAAGCCUGCACCCAAUCAAGCCACUGCCACCACUGGAAAAGCAAGGUCAGGAGCAGACCCCACUGCAAGUGGGGCAUGACUUCUACAUCGUGAAAAUAGCCUGCACUUGGAUCCACUGCCUAGAUACAGGCUCCUAAUCGCUCCUAGUUGCAUAAAUUUCAGGGCCCUUGGGGCUACUCAGUGUAGCCAAAACUCUUAACUACACAAAAGGGAGUUGGAUAUUUUGGUGUAAUAGAAAGAGGAUACCCAACACUCUUGACAAGCCCUACAGUCUUGGGUUCAUAUUCCAACUCUAUAACUGAGUCGCUUUCUGAACCUCAGUUUCCUCAACAGGUAAAGAGAGGUGUAACACCUCCUCUCAGAGUCAUUGUUAAGCAAAACGCCCAGUUCAGUGCCUGGCAAACAGUGGAGACUCAACAAGGUUGGUCUACUUCCUACUGAAUUCUCUGCUCAGAAUAUUUUCUUGCUUGUUCUCUGAAUUCCUGGGUCAAAAGCUACUUCUGAUAAACCUCCCGAAUAGCCUAACCAAGUUCCAAGUAUAGUUUAUUAAAAUCAUCUCUAUGUGUGUGGUUCUGAUAAUGUUUGAUAUCUCAAAUUCAAUCUUGCUACUCAAUGUGUGAUCUGCAGACCAGCAGCCUCAGCAUUACCUAGAAGUCUGUGUGAAAUGCAGAAUCUCAGGCCCCACCCCAGACCUACUGAAUCAGAAUUUAUGAGAUCCCCAAGUGAUAUGUUUACAUCUUAAAGUUUGAGAAGCACUGCCUAUAACAUACUUGGACAUUCAAUAAAACAGAGCCUACGGACACUCUAAGGAAUCCGCUAUGGCACUUUUGCUGCCGGUGGUGCUCUAUGAAUCUUUAUUCAAGUAGAAAGCAACCACUGAUUAAGGCAUUUUCACUGGAAGGACAGGAGAACUGUACAUUUCUUUCUUUGUGUUUCUGAGUUAAGAAAAAGAAGAUGCGCUAAGUACAUUAGCCUUAAGGCAAUAUUUAAAUCUCCUAUGUUCACGUGAUCUUUGUAUAUGUAAUAAGUGCUCUGAGUAUAAUUAGUAAUAUGAGCUUUCUGAUUAUAUGUAAACCAAUAAAUAACAGGAAGGAUA